AAAGAUUUAAAGCUACAUAUCUUUCAUAUGAUGUCAGCAAAUACAUCAAUGGUUGGCCCCUUUCUGGGGAGAAAUUCUAUUCCAAUUCUCUAAUUCAGCCUUCAUGGGCAGUUACCAGUCUGUCUUUAAUUAAGAUGACUUUUUUCAAUUCACUGUCUACCUGAAAAACCAGUAAGACAAGUCAGUGUUUAAUUCUGCUGCUUCUAUAAGGUAACAAGCUAUUCUCUAACUUUCAUUACUUUGAUGGGAUAUUAAUAUAUAUUAAGUCAAUUCAA
rnacentral:lncRNA from 1 species